GAUCGGCCCGCGUCUGAUUAGCUAGUUGGUGAGGUAACGGCUCACCAAGGCGACGAUCCGUAGCUGGUCUGAGAGGAUGAUCAGCCACACUGGGACUGAGACACGGCCCAGACUCCUACGGGAGGCAGCAGUGGGGAAUAUUGGACAAUGGGCGCAAGCCUGAUCCAGCCAUGCCGCGUGAGUGACGAAGGCCUUAGGGUUGUAAAGCUCUUUUGGCGGGGAAGAUAAUGACGGUACCCGCAGAAUAAGCUCCGGCUAACUUCGUGCCAGCAGCCGCGGUAAUACGAAGGGAGCUAGCGUUGUUCGGAAUCACUGGGCGUAAAGCGCACGUAGGCGGACUUUCAAGUCAGGGGUGAAAUCCCGGGGCUCAACCUCGGAACUGCCUUUGAUACUGUUGGUCUCGAGUCCGGAAGAGGUGAGUGGAAUUCCUGGUGUAGAGGUGAAAUUCGUAGAUAUUAGGAAGAACACCGGUGGCGAAGGCGGCUCACUGGUCCGGUACUGACGCUGAGGUGCGAAAGCGUGGGGAGCAAAACGGAUUUAGAUCCCCUGGUAAUCCCCGCCGUAAACGAUGGAUGCUAGCCCUUUGCAAGUUUGCUUGGUCGUGGGCCCACCUAACCCAUUUAAGCACCCCCCCCUGGGG
rnacentral:rRNA from 1 species